ensembl:lncRNA
GGGGUCUAGGGCUGGGGAGUAAAUGACUUCUGGGGCUUGAUUCCCUGGUUGAAAGUGUAGGAUGACAUGUCCCCUGGGAGCGGACAGAGCUGCAGAACAUUUAGUCUCCAACAUGAUGUCCAGAGCUUGGUUUGCUCUAUAUCCAUCUGUCCAUCCAUUGGAAAAAUAUUCACCAAGCCCUGACUGUGUUUGGCACUGAGGACCCAGUAGUGAACCAUGCAGACACCAUCCUGCUCUCUCCUUCCUCUCUCUUGCACCAAAUUUCCAGACCCCUUGUAGCAUCAUCUGUAUCACCAUUCUUCUCCUCCUUUCCUUUCUCUAACUGGCAACUACGAAUUAUGCAACUACUAAGAUAAAAUGUAUAGUGAUUAAGGGUAUAAUCUCUGGAUUAGGAGGGCCAGGCCUUGAAUCCCACCUCUGCCACUAGAUAUGUGGCCUCGGACAAGUCCCUUUCCUGCCCUGAGCUUUGCUUUCUCUAUCUCUAAUGUCAGAGGGUUAUUCUGAGGUUCAGUAAGAUAGACUUUGGCAAUGUCAUCUAUUUCAAUACUAAUGGGGUGAAUCUGGGACACUUUAGAAGCCAGGAAGAAACUUGCUCUUCCUAGUAGUAGAGCUCCUGAUGACUUGCUAAGAGCAGGUGAAGAGCUGUGAACAGUGGCUUUCAUUUUAUUUAGUCAUCAGAGGAACUUUGCAAGAAUGCGUCUCACGUAUGUAUUGCUGAGGAGGAAUCAAGGCACAGGAACAAGUAAUUUCAUGAAGUGUGCAUCUGAGCCUUCUCUCCUGAGACCAAGCUGCACUCCCAUUGGAGUCUACAACAUUCUUGGGACCACAAACUUCUGGUUCCUAAGAACUUUUGCUGGAUGGAUCUUGUUAACUGCCCUCUCUGCUCCUUAGUAUUCCUGCCAGGCCUAUCUGGCUGAGAAGCCCCAUUCAUUAGACAGUUGUAUUCAUAAUCCAGAUACUUCUUCCAGGUAGUUUUUUUGGGGGGGUUUUAAUGGAUGUUGAGAAUUUGUUCUCAUUAAAGCCCUGGGAAACAUGAGCUUUAGUCCUAGAGCAUUUGGCUUAUGCUUAACACCAUAGACGCUAAAAUUUGCUUCUUUUUGAUUUAGUCUCUUGCUAGCUUGAAGGACUGGAUUUUAUAACAGGUCAAUUUCAGACCAUUUGAUAUUGAUAUAUGAAGAUCCUUAGGGAUUAUUGAAUGCAUUUUUCAUCCAGCUGCGAUAGUAUCAUAUAAGGAAAAUGGGAUUGACUGUUAAGUACAAAUUGAAAAAGACAUGGUCAUUUAAGAUAACUCCUUAUCUGUAUACAAGGAAAUAGUAUCAGGGAAAUAGACCACCAGUUGACAGAAAUAAAUUUCACCUUGGGUUCCUCCUCCACAUGCCUCCUUCACUGCUGUUCACACUCGUCCGGGAUUAUUCAAUUAUUCUGAGAGCCCUUUCCUGGAGCCCUGUUAGAGGAUGCAUCCGCAGGAAGAAGAGAAUUAAUUCUCUACUGCUUUAUUCUGGAAGGAAGUGUUGGAUAGAGGCUCUGGGUCCAUUCAGAGAGAAGGCCUUGGGGACUUUGGAAUAGGGCAGCUUCAACCUGGAACGUGGCUGGUCUCCCCAGCAGAGCCCCUGACAGUGCACUAAGAGCAGCAGAAGAGCUGAGAACAAUGAUUCCAUACCUUUCUUUUCAUCCACUAGGCUUACUCAUACGACCACUGGAGUGGUCUCAGCCAAGCAAGGCCCCCAUCCAGGUGACAUCCAGCCCUGGAAAUUUUCCUGAAUUUUACCCAAGCAGAGUGGGUUUGAAGGUCACUUGGAAAAUCUGCCAGAUUCCCAAAUAUCCCCUUCACUGUGUGAAGGGUGGCUGGGAACUUGUGACUGGUCUCCUGGAGGUCAGUGCAUGGACCUACCUCUGCUCCUACAAUUCCUGUGGUGGAGGCUGGAGGGAGAGGGCUGCUGCUUCCUCCUCCUUGAGUCCCAUCUGCAAGGAUGUUGGCUGGGAGAUGUGUGCUAUGCUGGGACCUUCCAGGCCUGUGGAGUCCAGAGAAGGACAAGCCUUGGGGCAGGUGUCUGCCUUACCCUCAGGUAUCUUUGUCCAUUUGGAAGGCUCACCAUGGGGGACGCCGAGUUGCCACAGCAGAGCUUUGCCGGAGGGCCACUGGACCACAGCAUGGGACACGUCAUCUUUACAGAUCUGGAGCCCUCGUCAGCUGCCCUGAGUAUGAUGUGGGAUCUUGCCAGUGAGGGGGCUGCUGGACCCUGACUCCUCUGAGGGAUGGGGGAAUAAGG